UAGGGAAUAUUGGGCAAUGGACGAGAGUCUGACCCAGCCAUGCCGCGUGCAGGAAGAAGGCCUUCUGGGUUGUAAACUGCUUUUGACCGGGACCAAAAGACUCAUGCGUGAGGAAUUGAGAGUACCGGUAGAAUAAGCACCGGCUAACUCCGUGCCAGCAGCCGCGGUAAUACGGAGGGUGCAAGCGUUGUCCGGAUUUAUUGGGUUUAAAGGGUGCGUAGGCGGUCUUUUAAGUCAGUGGUGAAAGCCAACAGCUCAACUGUUGAAUUGCCAUUGAUACUGGAAGACUUGAGUAUAGGCGAGGUAGGCGGAAUUGACGGUGUAGCGGUGAAAUGCAUAGAUAUCGUCAAGAACACCGAUUGCGAAGGCAGCUUACUAGACUAUAACUGACGCUGAGGCACGAAAGUGCGGGGAUCAAACA
rnacentral:rRNA from 1 species